GGUUAAGCGACUAAGCGUACACGGUGGAUGCCCUGGCAGUCAGAGGCGAUGAAGGGCGUGCUAAUCUGCGAUAAGCGCCGGUAAGGUGAUAUGAACCGUUAUAACCGGCGAUACCCGAAUGGGGAAACCCAGUGUGAUUCGUCACACUAUCAUUAACUGAAUCCAUAGGUUAAUGAGGCGAACCGGGGGAACUGAAACAUCUAAGUACCCCGAGGAAAAGAAAUCAACCGAGAUUCCCCCAGUAGCGGCGAGCGAACGGGGAGGAGCCCAGAGCCUGAAUCAGCAUG
rnacentral:rRNA from 1 species